rnacentral:lncRNA from 1 species
UCUUUUGCUUGUGAACGGGCAGCGCCAGGUUACAUAGAAUGGAAGCUGAAUUAGCUCCUGGCUAGAGACUGCAAAAUCCCAUCCACAGUCUGGCACUGCAAGUCUGUUGCUUCCGCAGAUAACAUCAGCUGCCCUUCUGCAGGAAUGUUUAUUUCCCCUGUGGUAAUGAUCUUGAAAGCUAGAACAUUGUGAAAUGUUUGCAAUCUCAAAAGACAAUUUGGUGUACUCAACAUAGAGAUGC